rnacentral:rRNA from 1 species
GGUUAAGCGACUAAGCGUACACGGUGGAUGCCCUGGCAGUCAGAGGCGAUGAAGGGCGUGCUAAUCUGCGAUAAGCGCCGGUAAGGUGAUAUGAACCGUUAUAACCGGCGAUACCCGAAUGGGGAAACCCAGUGUGACUCGUCACACUAUCAUUAACUGAAUCCAUAGGUUAAUGAGGCGAACCGGGGGAACUGAAACAUCUAAGUACCCCGAGGAAAAGAAAUCAACCGAGAUUCCCCCAGUAGCGGCGAGCGAACGGGGAGGAGCCCAGAGCCUGAAUCAGCAUGUGUGUUAGUGGAAGCGUCUGGAAAGGCGCGCGAUACAGGGUGACAGCCCCGUACACAAAAGCGCAUGUGCUGUGAGCUCGAUGAGUAGGGCGGGACACGUGGUAUCCUGUCUGAAUAUGGGGGGACCAUCCUCCAAGGCUAAAUACUCCUGACUGACCGAUAGUGAACCAGUACCGUGAGGGAAAGGCGAAAAGAACCCCGGCGAGGGGAGUGAAAAAGAACCUGAAACCGUGUACGUACAAGCAGUGGGAGCCCCACCACCAAAGCAUUCUCUGGUGUUGAAGGCCCUGCAAAGCAGCAUCGCGGUGGCGGAGCGUCGUUUGCGACGCCCAACACACAAAACAAGCGGUGAGUGCUUUGGGGUGGGGUGACUGCGUACCUUUUGUAUAAUGGGUCAGCGACUUAUAUUCUGUAGCAAGGUUAACCGAAUAGGGGAGCCGGAGGGAAACCGAGUCUUAAUUGGGCGUUAAGUUGCAGGGUAUAGACCCGAAACCCGGUGAUCUAGCCAUGGGCAGGUUGAAGGUUGGGUAACACUAACUGGAGGACCGAACCGACUAAUGUUGAAAAAUUAGCGGAUGACCUGUGGCUGGGGGUGAAAGGCCAAUCAAACCGGGAGAUAGCUGGUUCUCCCCGAAAGCUAUUUAGGUAGCGCCUCGUGAAUUCAUCUCCGGGGGUAGAGCACUGUUUCGGCAUA